UACGUAGGGACCGAGCGUUGUCCGGAAUCAUUGGGCGUAAAGAGCGUGUAGGCGGCUAUUUAAGUCCUGCGUGAAAUCCUGCGGCUCAACCGCAGACGGUCGUGGGAAACUGGAUGGCUAGAGUGCGGGAGAGGAGAGUGGAAUUCCCGGUGUAGCGGUGAAAUGCGCAGAUAUCGGGAAGAACACCCGUGGCGAAGGCGGCUCUCUGGAACGCAACUGACGCUGAGACGCGAAAGCUAGGGGAGCGAACAGG
rnacentral:rRNA from 1 species